rnacentral:misc_RNA from 1 species
UACGAAGGUGGCGAGCGUUACUCGGAAUGACUAGGCGUAAAGGGCAGGUAGGCGGUUUGAUAAGUCGGCUGUGAAAGCUCCUGGCUUAACUGGGAGAGGUCAGCCGAUACUGUCAAGCUUGAGUAUGGGAGAGGGUACUGGAAUUCCCGGUGUAGCGGUGAAAUGCGCAGAGAUCGGGAGGAACACCAAUGGCGAAAGCAGGUACCUGGACCAUUACUGACGCUCAGCUGCGAAAGCUAGGGGAGCAAACAGG